rnacentral:lncRNA from 1 species
AUUUCCCCUCCCUCAACUCUUUGGUCUACUUCUCCUUUAUCUCCACAGAUGGAAGGUAGAUGAACUACAGUGAAGAGGAGAUGGAUAAGUUCUUCAAAGGAGGGACUUAUGUCUUAAAUUUCUUUGUAAACUCCAUUGCUUCGUACCAUGCCUGACAGAUUUAGGUACUCAGAGAGUGUUGGUUAAAGGUUGAAUGAAUGGGCUGAGCAAUGCAUAAGUGGGUAAAUAUAUUUAUUUUAUCCUUCUACUAUAACUUAAGGGAAAAAACAUGUUGCCUGAAUGUUUAUUACAACUCUUCUGUUAACCUUGUAGAGGAUGGAUCAACUGGACAGUGUAGAGAUGGAAGAAAAGGAAUGUCAUUUGCUAUACUCAGAACAUGUCCUGUGCUGGUGUUUUCACAGGAUGGUAACAGCACUUAACGCUAAGCCUGCAAGCCAGUUGAUGUCAGGACAGAGUCCUGAAUACUCACCUCAGUGAGGUAAGGAGCACACAGAGGGUCACA